GGGUAUAGCUCAGUGGUAGAGUGCAUGUUUAGUGUGUAAGAGAUCCUGGGUUCAAUCCCCAGUACCUCCA
rnacentral:tRNA from 1 species